GCGCCCGUAGCUCAAUUGGAUAGAGCGUCUGACUACGGAUCAGAAGGUUAUGGAUUCGAUUUCUGUCGGGCGCGCCA
rnacentral:tRNA from 1 species